UUUGUGUUUGUUUUGGUUUUUAGCAAUAUUUGUAAACAAAUGUGUAAAUAUUUGAGUGCUAUAACGAGCAUGGAGGAAUUGUUCUUUGAAAAAAAUGGCCUCUAUAAAAGUUCAGUUAUCGAAUAAUUGUGUUUAACCGAAUCUGGAGCAAUUUGGACGUACAUACCUUGCAUUUUCAUUUGUUGAGCGAUUUGCUGCCUAAGUCCUAAAACUCUAGAGUCCUAAAACUCUACGAUCCGAUAAGGACGCAUUAUUUUUGUAAAGCAAAGGACACUGACGCACAGCCUCACAGCCACAGACAAAGUUGCUACGAGAGUAUUAUAUGGUUGCAAGUCCAAAACUGAACGAGUUAGAUAUAGGGUUAUAUAUAUCAAAAUGAUCAGUGUGACGAAAAAAGUUCAAAUCCGGGACGUCUGUCCGUCCGUCCGUGCAAGCUGUAACUUGAGUAAAAAUUGAGAUAUCUUAAUGAAAAUGAAAUUGGAAGACGUAUUUCUUGGCACCAUAAGAAGGUUAAGUUCGAAAAUGUGAGUAAUCGGGCCAUUGCCACUUCCACAAAAUGGCAAUAACCGAAAAUUUGGUACAAAAGCUUGUUCUAGGAAGGGGCAUAUUUGGAUGUAAUUUUUUUGGGGAAGUGGGCGUGGCUCCGCCCACUACUAAGUUUUUUGUACAUAUCUCGCAAACUAAUUAAGCUAUAUCAAGGAAACUUUCUAGAGUCGUUUCUUUUAGGUACUACCUUAUACCGUACAAAAAUGAAGGAAAUCGGGUCAUACGGCCCACCUCCCAUACAAAGGUUGUAUUGAAAAUUACUAAAAAUUCAGUAAGUUCAGUAAGGAAAACAACCAGAAACCUUAGAUUUCAUUGAAAAGAUGGUACAGAAGAGCUGCUCUCAAAAUGGUAUACAAAAUUUUAAAUGGGCGUGGUUCCGCCAACUUAUGGGUCAAAAACCAUAUCUUCCUUACUUGUUUUAUAAUUCUUUUGUUUUUUAACUUUCGACUGUAAAUACGCAAUUUCAUUUGUUUCAUUUGUUUACAAAUUUUACAUCAAUUUGUAUUUAUUUUGGAUUUAUUUCUUUUGAAACAACUGUUUGACAGCAAAAUGCUUUUCACCUCAAUUGGUGACUUUUUUAAGCUUUUUUCUUAUGAGGUUCGAGCCAGAAUAGACUCACAAAAUAUACGUCACAAGAAACCUCACAAAUUUUUCCUCACAACUCAGUUAUGAGGUUUUUUCAGAAUAGGGCUGUAAAUUUUCUCAAUGAUUUAAUUAUAGUAAACCUCUGGGGAGAAAAACAUCUUGAGACACCUACCAAAGAUAAUACUGGCAAAAUUAUCGAAAAAAAUUUAUAAUGCCAAAAUGAAAUAAGAAAUGAUACUACGAAUAAACAAAUAAUAAAUGAAGCAAAUGCUCAUAAUAUUUUAAAAACAAAUAAUUUUGAAAUGUCUAAUGAAUUAUCAUAUAACGAUAAUGAAACAAAACAUUUCUGCAUACCACUGUUAAGAAAGGAUGUUAUUGUAACGGAUUUCCAAAUCUGUUGUUAACGCUGAAACUUUACCCUGAGUUCGACCACUGGAUUGUCAAAUAAAAGACACACUUUAAUGGCUAUACACUAAUCUUUAUUUCCAAUUCCUUAAAACUUAACACUUUAUUACUCAAUACUCUAAUUUACAACUCUAACUUAUAACUUGUUUACACUUUACUCGACAACUCUCUCCUUAGAAUUAUCCUCACUCGACAACUCUCUUAUUAGAACUGUGUCUUGGUGCCAGCCCGGCAGCCCUUAUAUAGUCGAUUGCUAACAUGUUAUCGUCACUCAAACAUUCUGGCAACUACGAAUAUCGAUGUCUAGAUAGAUCUGGCAAGUUAUCGAUUUCGAUUGUCAAUUCUAGUUGGUUCUGGUGCCAUUUUCGUAACAUUAUUAAAAUAAUUAAUCAUCAUCAUCAAAACGUGAACAUGGAUUUACCUUUUAGAACAGAUAUUAAAGCAGAAAUUAGGACUGAGGAUGAUAAACCUAUAUGGUCAAAACAAUAUCCUUAUUCAAUAUUUGCGAAUAAUUUUGUUAAUAAGGAAAUCGAAAAUUUGCUAGAAAAAGGAUUUAUACGUCGUAAAAGUCCAUAUAAUUCUCCCGUUUGGGUCGUUCCUAAAAAAGGAAUAAAUGAAGACGGAAGUCCGAAAUUAAGAAUGAUCAUUGACUUUAAAAAAAUAAAUGAAAAAACCAUAACCGACAGAUAUCCAAUGCAUAAUCCCUAGGUGAUUCUCUUUAAUCUGGGAGAAUCGAAAUACUUUUCCACAAUAGAUUUACAGCCCUAUUCUGUGCACUUGGCAAAGUAACAAAAAAAUUUAAAUUUUUUUCAUAUUUUUAUCAAGAAAGAAAUUUUUUGGUAUUCUGUGACAAUUUUGAUAAAAUAAAAAGCUUCAGUAUGCAUAGCUUUUCCCCACACUUGUGGGAAACAAAAUAAUGUAAACAGAAACAGCUGAUUUCUGUCCAAUUAUAUUGAAUUGAAUUGAAAAAAAUAUUUGAAUUAUUCUAUAACGUACUUUUUCACAUGCAUUUCAAUAUUUGUUGCAAAUUAGUUAAUAAUUUAACUUCAAUUUCAGAGUAAAUCCGUUGCUCUUGGUUUAGACGUGAAGUUUCUGAGAGUGCACAAAUAUUCCAUGCUUCGAAUCUGGCCCUAUUAUUUUCACGUAGAAGGUCGUUAUUUGGAUAUUUGGAUUUGUUUUAACCGAGCCUUCUUCAUUGUGGCUUCGUUGAUAAGUUUGGUUUACGAUUGACCGGUUAUCAGCAUAUAUAUCCGAUUCUGAUGUCGAGAUAUCGACUGAAGCCUCCCAGACCUGAUGCAAAGUAUUUGGUUUGGUUUUACAACAGCAACUAUAUAGAUGAUAAUAUUUGGAUUUGCCCCUAGUCUUUUGCUCCCCCGUAAAGCCAUAGAAUACUACAUAACAUAUACAUAUAUACAUAUGUCCUUUAUAAUAUUUUUAAAAAUUUUUCAUUAAUAACAAUUUUGAUUUAGUUGGAUGUUAUGUUUAGCUUCAGAAAAGUUCCUUGGGGACUACGAAAUCUAAAUUUUGUUCAUUGUUGGCAAAAAUUUGCUAAUAUAUAUAUAGAAAACAAUUUCCUCAAAUUACCCUCAUUAUCUCCACAUUUUUAUACAAAAAAAGGGAAAAAUAAACUUCUUAAUAUAAAAACGGCUCAUUCACGGUUCAUAUAUUUCCUCUUUGUGUAAAAAUAACGACAAAAGUAAAAUAUCUCCAUUACAAGAAAUUCACUUUCACAACCAUUGUAUAAACCUACAAGUAGAUAAUCUAAAAUACAUAUAAAGAAUUUGCGAUACGAAUGCAAUAGAAUGAAGGAAAACGCAAGACAUUUCGCGAGGACUUACGUCGAUAAAUACUACUAAAUCGACACUUGGCGCGGGUUGUCGUGCAGAUUUUGGUACUAUGAACAACAACAACUCAAGGCAAUGGACACUUCGCGCGGGUUGCGUGGUACUAAAAAAGACCCAAAUCUACAAUGUCGAGUUGCCGUGUUAUACUACAAUAUUUAUUACUUUUAGUAAAUUAUUAGUAAUUUUUUUGUUUGUCGAUAUUAGUUGGAAUUAAAUCUGGGUCCGUUUGACUAACUGUCUAUAUGGGUCGGAAUAUAAUAUGAGUCUGUGGUUUUGUCUUUUUUGAAUUUUUGUUCAUAAUUUAAUGUAAUUUUCAUUUGAUUUGAUAUUUUGAAAGGACGACUUUUUUUUGUUAGAAUUAGUUUGUACGCUUAUUAUUGUUUUUUUGUGCUUUUAAACCGUUUCGUGUACCAGGUUUAGAACACUUUUCUCCACCACUAUUAUUUUGUUUUUUAGUUAAGAUUUCGCUGUGGGUUACUUUUAUAUGUAUUGUUAUUGCAUAGUAGAUUGUUUAGAUCGUUAUUUCUUGAACUAUAUAUAUACUAAAAAAAUUGGUAACGCGCCUAUAUUGCAACCUCAGAGGUGGUGAGGAAAUAAAAUAUAUAAAAUAUUUCCAUUUUCAGUACGUUUAUUUAAAACUCUGGGUCGAAAUACGUAGUAAAUCGAACAGGUGAUCUCAGCUGUGAAAAAUUUCCCGUUAUCCAGCUGAUUCUUUUGCUACUUGUAGGCAUAUACAAUGUUCACAACUAUCCACAACAAGAUAUUUUAUUUAUCAAGAGCAUUUUACUUCUUAACAAUUUUUCAAGAAAAAAGCUUUUUAUUUUAGAUACAGAACACGAAAUGCUUGAUAAAUUUCAAAUUUUUACAAAUUAGAAAUUUGUUGAAUUUGUAAAGUGCACAGAAUAGAGUCUGGAUUUCAUCAGAUAUUGAUGGAGCAAAAACACAUAGAGAAAACAGAAACAAUAAAAAAUUACCCAUAUCCUAAGGCGUUACGACAUAUGUAUGUACAAAAAUGCAUCUGUUGCAUUGUAUCCAAAAUAAUGGAUAAUAGUAUUUAUGUUAAUAACCUCAUUAGGUACGUGAUUAGUGAAACUUAAGAUGCAUUGUGUCCAAAGUAAUGGAUUAUUAUUUUGUAAAUAACCUUAGUAGUUUUUGUUUAGUUAUUACAAACAUUAAGCUCUGUGGAUAUAUAUACAAAUGGAGGAUUACAAUAGCUACAGCUUUUCUUAGGCAUGAUGAACAAGACAACAACAAAUCCCUUCUGACAUUUAGAUUAGCAGUUGCACAACCUCUUUCCGACGAGCUGAACCCUUUUAUGAUGUACAUAUGGGAAUAUGGGAUAGGAUUGUGUGGAAUUGACAAUCAAACAAUAUUGCUUGAUUAAUUUCGUUGGAUCCUUACGGGAUAGUUAUAAGGAAAUCGUUCGCGCUUAGUACUAAUGUAUUCAUUUCCUAAUUCAUAAUUUAAAUGUAAAAUAUUGUUAAAUUAUACAAAUCGUAUGUAAUUGGCGUUGACAACUCUCUUUCCUUCGCUGUUCGGCGCCAGUUGGAGAUUCCAAGUGUAACCAGGUCGCUCUCCACCUGGUCCCUCCAACGGAAUAGAGGCCUUCCCCUUCCUCGGCUUCUCCGGCGGGUACUGCAUCGAACACUUUCAGAGCUGGAGUGUUUUCGUCCAUUCGGACAACAUGACCUUGCCAGCGUAGCCACUGCUUUUUAUUCGCUGAACUAUGUCAAUGUCCUCGUAUAACUCAUACAGCUCAUCGUUCCAUUGUCUGCGGUAUUCGCCGUUGCCAAUCUUUAAGGGACCAUGAAUCUUCCGCAAAACCUUUCUCUCGAAAACUCCUAGUGUCGUCUCAUCUGAUGUUAACAUCGUCCAAGCUUCUGCACCAUAAAGCAGGACGGGAAGGAUAAGCGACUUGUAGAGUUUGAUUUUGGUUCGUCGAGAGAGGACUUUACUUUUCAAUUGCCUACUCAGUCCAAAGUAGCACCUGUUGGCAAGAGUGAUUUUGCGCUGGAUUUCAAGGCUGACAUUGUUCGUGUUGUUGAUGCUGGUUCCCAGCUAUACGAAAUUAUCUACGACUUCGAAGUUAUGGCUGUCAACAAGCUUUGAAAUCGACAAAAAGGUGGUGUGUGUCGAUCCUCUUUUCACGGGUCUUCUCCAAGAUUUAGCGCAUGGUGAAUAUCUGUUCAGUUGUGGAUUUUCCAGGUCUAAAGCCAACUGAUAAGGUCCAAUCAGUUUGUUGACGGUGGGCUUUAGUCUUUCACACAGUACGCUCGAUAGAACCUUAUAGGCGAUAUUUAGGAGGCUUCUCCCACGGUAAUUGGCACAGAUUGUGGGAUCUCCCUUUUUGUGGAUUGUGCAGAGCACACUGAGAUUCCAAUCGUCGGGCAUGCUUUCUUCCGACCAUAUUUUGCAAAGAAGCUGAUGCAUGCACCUUAUCAGUUCUUCGCCGCCGUAUUUAAAAGGCUCGGCCGGUAAUCUGUCGGCCCCCGCCGCUUUCUGUUCGUCAGGUGAGUAAUUGCUAUUCGAAUUUCUUCAUGGUCGGGUAAUGGAACAUCUGUUCCAUCGUCAUCGAUUGGGGAAUCGGGUUCGCCAUCUCCUGGUGUUGUACUUUCACUGCCAUUCAGCAGAUCGAAAAAGUAUUCCCUCCAAAAGCCCAGUAGGUACUCACGCAUUUCGGCCUCUUUCAUUUUUUGUCUGAAGAUUCGUCUCGCUUCCCUCUUCAUCUGUCGAUAUCUAUCCCAUCCCGCUCGUGUUGUGGUCUUUUUCAACGUUGCGAGGUAGGCAGUCUGUUUUCUGUCCGCUUCGAGACGACAAUCCUCAUCGUUGUCGAAAUCCAAUUGUAUCGGCUGCAGCUGUACGCAGUGAGUUUGAGAUACCGUUCCACAGUUCCCUUAUACCGAGAUGCUGAUGAGUGCUCUCAGAGAGCAGGAGUGCAAGUCGAGAAUGCGUAUCUUUGCUGCUACUAGAUAAUGGUCCGAGUCUAUAUUUGGUCGUCGGAGCAUACGCACGUCUAAAACGCAGGAGACAUGUCUUCCGUCUAUCAUAACGUGAUCGAUUUGGUUACGCGUGUUUCGGUCUGGAGACAGGCAAGUAGCUUGAUGUAUUUUCAUAUGCUGGAAUCUGGUACUACAGACGACCAUUUUGGGUCCCAGCGAAGUCGAUCAGCCUCAGGCCGUUUGGCGAUGUUUCGUCAUGGAGGCUGAAUUGCACUGUUGUGCCAAAGACACCUUCUUUACCCACUCUAGCGUUGAAAUCGCCAAGCACGAUUUUGACAUCGUGGAGGGGGCAGCGCUCGUAGGUGCGUUCUAGGCGCUCAAUGAAAGUAUCUGUGAUCACAUCGUCCUUCUCUUCCGUUGGGGCGUGGGCGCAAAUAAGCGAUAUGUUGAAGAACCUCGCUUUUAUGCGGAUUGUGGCUAGACGUUCAUGCACCGGGGUGAAUGCCAGGACUCGGCGACGGAGUCUCUCUCCCACCACAAAUCCAACACCAAAUUUGCGCUCCUUUUUACGUUCGCUGUAGUAGAUGUCACAAGGACCCACCUUCUUCAGUCCUUGUCCCGUCCAUCGCACUUCUUGGAUGGCGGUGAUAUCAGCCUUUAGUCGUAUGAGAACAUCAACCAGCUGGGCAGAGGCACCUUCCCAAUUAAGAGUCCGGACAUUCCAGGUGCAUGCCCUUAAAGCAUUAUCCUUAAAACGUUUGCAGGGAUCCCAUCCUCUAAUAUAUUAUACCAUACUAAUUUAUAAAUGUAAAUACAUCAAACAAUUAUAAUAAAUAAAUAAAAAUAAAACAAUUUUAAUUUUUAAUUUUAAUUUUUUUUUUAUAAACGGAAAAGUAGUAUAAAAUGAAGACCAAUGGAGACUUUUUUCCUGCUGCUAGAACGAGAGAGACCAAAAAAAUGAUACAAGCUUUCUUUACUGGUAACCAAUAUUCCAUAAGAUAAGUGACUCUACUUGUCUUGCAGGGUAGCCAAGCAUUGUAAAUAAAAAAGUAGUUGGUUAAGCUGUUGUCAUUGGUUAACUAAUUACUGUGAACUCGUCCCUUGAAGUUAUAAAAGUUUGUACAUUAUAAAUAAAAAGGAGAUUUUUUUCAUAAAACCAUUAAAAAAUAACAAAUGUUUGCAAAGAAGUAUUAGCUGAAUUAUAGUAAUUUUUUCUAUACUUAAAAUCUAUA